UACGGAGGGUGCAAGCGUUGUCCGGAAUUAUUGGGCGUAAAGCGCGCGCAGGCGGUCCUUUAAGUCUGAUGUGAAAGCCCACGGCUCAACCGUGGAGGGUCAUUGGAAACUGGGGAACUUGAGUACAGAAGAGGAGAGUGGAAUUCCACGUGUAGCGGUGAAAUGCGUAGAUAUGUGGAGGAACACCAGUGGCGAAGGCGACUCUCUGGUCUGUAACUGACGCUGAGGCGCGAAAGCGUGGGGAGCAAACAGG
rnacentral:rRNA from 1 species